rnacentral:rRNA from 1 species
UACGUAGGGGGCCAGCGUUGUCCGGAUUUACUGGGCGUAAAGCGUGCGCAGGCGGUUUGGUAAGACAGAUGUGAAAUCCCCGGGCUUAACCUGGGAAUUGCAUUUGUGACUGCCCGGCUAGAGUGUGUCAGAGGGGGGUAGAAUUCCACGUGUAGCAGUGAAAUGCGUAGAGAUGUGGAGGAAUACCGAUGGCGAAGGCAGCCCCCUGGGAUAACACUGACGCUCAUGCACGAAAGCGUGGGGAGCAAACAGG